GAUCAUUACCAGAUAGCAGCCUCCCAAGGCACUAUCCCCAUCCGUGUCUACAUACUCUUGUUGCUUUGGCAGGCCGUGGCCUCCACUGCGGGCUCUGCUCGCACGUGCCUGCCAGAGGACCAAACUCUGAAUUUUAGUGAUGUCUGAGUACUAUAUAAUAGUAAAAACUUUCAACAACGGAUCUCUUGGUUCUGGCAUCGAUGAAGAACGCAGCGAAAUGCGAUAAGUAAUGUGAAUUGCAGAAUUCAGUGAAUCAUCGAAUCUUUGAACGCACAUUGCGCCCCGUGGUAUUCCGCGGGGCAUGCCUGUUCGAGCGUCAUUAUACCCCCUCAAGCUUAGCUUGGUAUUGGAGCUCGCGUCUUGCGGCUCCCAAAUGAAGCAGCAGUCUUGGUAGGAUCCUAAGCGUAGUAAUCUUUCUCGCUUCUGGGCACUGUUUUAAGGCUUGCUUAACCUAAAUUCUUUAAGGUUGACCUCGGAUCAGGUAGGGAUACCCGCUGAACUUAAGCAUAUCAAUAAGCGGAGGAAAAGAAACCAACAGGGAUUGCCUUAGUAACGGCGAGUGAAGCGGCAAUAGCUCAAAUUUGAAAGCUGCCAACCGGCCGCAUUGUAAUUUGUAGAAGAUGCUUUGGGUGCCGGCCUUGUCUAAGUUCCUUGGAACAGGACGUCAUAGAGGGUGAGAAUCCCGUACGUGAUUAGGCCCAACCCCGUGUAAARSUCUUUCGACGAGUCGAGUUGUUUGGGAAUGCAGCUCAAAAUGGGUGGUAAAUUUCAUCUAAAGCUAAAUAUUGGCCAGAGACCGAUAGCGCACAAGUAGAGUGAUCGAAAGAUGAAAAGCACUUUGGAAAGAGAGUUAAACAGUACGUGAAAUUGUUGAAAGGGAAGCGCUUGCAACCAGACUUGCGGGCUGUCGAUCAUCCGAGGUUCUCCCCGGUGCACUCGACUGUUCUCAGGCCAGCAUCGGUUCUGGUGGUAGGAUAAAGGCUGUGGGAAUGUGGCUCUUCGGAGUGUUAUAGCCCACGGUGCAAUGCUGCCUACCGGGACCGAGGACCGCGCUUC
rnacentral:rRNA from 1 species